rnacentral:rRNA from 1 species
ACUACCCGCUGAACUUAAGCAUAUCAAUAAGCGGAGGAAAAGAAACCAACAGGGAUUGCCUCAGUAACGGCGAGUGAAGCGGCAAAAGCUCAAAUUUGAAAUCCCCCGGGAAUUGUAAUUUGAAGAGAUUUGGGUCCGGCCGGCAGGGGUUAAGUCCACUGGAAAGUGGCGCCACAGAGGGUGACAGCCCCGUGAACCCCUUCAACGCCCUCAUCCCAGAUCUCCAAGAGUCGAGUUGUUUGGGAAUGCAGCUCUAAGUGGGUGGUAAAUUCCAUCUAAAGCUAAAUACCGGCGAGAGACCGAUAGCGAACAAGUACAGUGAUGGAAAGAUGAAAAGCACUUUGAAAAGAGAGUGAAAAAGUACGUGAAAUUGUUGAAAGGGAAGGGCUUGCAAGCAGACACUUAACUGGGCCAGCAUCGGGGCGGCGGGAAACAAAACCACCGGGGAAUGUACCUUUCGAGGAUUAUAACCCCGGUCUCAAUUUCCUUGUUGCCCCGAGGCCUGCAAUCUAAGGAU